GAUGAACGCUAGCGGCAGGCUUAAUACAUGCAAGUCGUGGGGCAGCAGGUCCCGAGCAAUCGGGAUGCUGGCGACCGGCAAACGGGUGAGGAACACGUACACAACCUUCCUUCAAGUGGG
rnacentral:rRNA from 1 species